rnacentral:rRNA from 1 species
GAAGUUAGCGGCGGACGGGUGAGUAACACGUGGGUAACCUGCCCAUAAGACUGGGAUAACUCCGGGAAACCGGGGCUAAUACCGGAUAACAUUUUGAACCGCAUGGUUCGAAAUUGAAAGGCGGCUUCGGCUGUCACUUAUGGAUGGACCCGCGUCGCAUUAGCUAGUUGGUGAGGUAACGGCUCACCAAGGCAACGAUGCGUAGCCGACCUGAGAGGGUGAUCGGCCACACUGGGACUGAGACACGGCCCAGACUCCUACGGGAGGCAGCAGUAGGGAAUCUUCCGCAAUGGACGAAAGUCUGACGGAGCAACGCCGCGUGAGUGAUGAAGGCUUUCGGGUCGUAAAACUCUGUUGUUAGGGAAGAACAAGUGCUAGUUGAAUAAGCUGGCACCUUGACGGUACCUAACCAGAAAGCCACGGCUAACUACGUGCCAGCAGCCGCGGUAAUACGUAGGUGGCAAGCGUUAUCCGGAAUUAUUGGGCGUAAAGCGCGCGCAGGUGGUUUCUUAAGUCUGAUGUGAAAGCCCACGGCUCAACCGUGGAGGGUCAUUGGAAACUGGGAGACUUGAGUGCAGAAGAGGAAAGUGGAAUUCCAUGUGUAGCGGUGAAAUGCGUAGAGAUAUGGAGGAACACCAGUGGCGAAGGCGACUUUCUGGUCUGUAACUGACACUGAGGCGCGAAAGCGUGGGGAGCAAACNGGAUUAGAUACCCUGGUAGUCCACGCCGUAAACGAUGAGUGCUAAGUGUUAGAGGGUUUCCGCCCUUUAGUGCUGAAGUUAACGCAUUAAGCACUCCGCCCUGGGGAGUACGGCCGCAAGGCUGAAACUCAAAGGAAUUGACGGGGGCCC